UACGUAGGGCGCAAGCGUUGUCCGGAUUUAUUGGGCGUAAAGAGCGUGUAGGCGGCUUGGUAGGUCCGCUGUGAAAACUCGAGGCUCAACCUCGAGAUGUCGGCGGAAACCACUUGGCUAGAGUCCGGAAGAGGAGAGUGGAAUUCCUGGUGUAGCGGUGAAACGCGCAGAUAUCAGGAAGAACACCUAUGGCGAAGGCAGCUCUCUGGGACGGUACUGACGCUGAGACGCGAAAGCGUGGGGAGCGAACAGG
rnacentral:rRNA from 1 species